CCUACGGGAGGCAGCAGUAGGGAAUCUUUCACAAUGGGCGAAAGCCUGACCGAGCAACGCCGCGUGCAGGAUGAAGGCCUUCGGGUUGUAAACUGCUUUUAUAAGCGAGGAAGAAGAUGGCAAUUCAUGAAUAAUGAUCGGCUAACUACGUGCCAGCAGCCGCGGUCAUACGUAGGAGCUGAGCAGUAUCAGGGGUGACUGGGGGGAAAAAGUUGCGUAGGUGGGAAAAGAAAUAGCUAGUGAAAACUGGAGGGUCAACCAUUCAGACGGUUAGUUAAACUGUUAAGCUCGAGACCGUGAGGGGUAACUGGAAUUUCGAGUGUAGGGGUGAAAUGCGUAGAUAUUAGAAGGAACACCAAUGGCGUAGGCAGAUUGCUGGAACGGUUCUGACGCUAAGGCACGAAAGCGUAGGGAGCAAACGGGAUUAGAUACCCGAGUAGUC
rnacentral:rRNA from 1 species